rnacentral:rRNA from 1 species
UUGGGUGUAAACCCGCACGCGUAAUGAAAGUGAACGUAGGUGAGAGCUUCGGCGCAUCAUCGACCGAUCCUGAUGUAUUCGGAUGGAUUUGAGUAAGAGCGUAAAGCCUCGGACCCGAAAGAUGGUGAACUAUGCCUGAAUAGGGUGAAGCCAGAGGAAACUCUGGUGGAGGCUCGCAGCGGUUCUGACGUGCAAAUCGAUCGUCAAAUUUGGGCAUGGGGGCGAAAGACUAAUCGAACCAUCUAGUAGCUGGUUACCGCCGAAGUUUCCCUCAGGAUAGCAGUGUUGUUCUUCAGUUUUAUGAGGUAAAGCGAAUGAUUAGGGACUCGGGGGCGCUAUAUAGCCUUCAUCCAUUCUCAAACUUUAAAUAUGUAAGAAGCCCUUGUUACUUAAUUGAACGUGGGCAUUCGAAUGUACCAACACUAGUGGGCCAUUUUUGGUAAGCAGAACUGGCGAUGCGGGAUGAACCGAACGCGGGGUUAAGGUGCCAGAGUGGACGCUCAUCAGACACCACAAAAGGCGUUAGUACAUCUUGACAGCAGGACGGUGGCCAUGGAAGUCGGAAUCCGCUAAGGACUGUGUAACAACUCACCUGCCGAAUGUACUAGCCCUGAAAAUGGAUGGCGCUCAAGCGUCCCACCCAUACCCCGCCGUCAGGGUAGAAACGAUGCCCUGACGAGUAGGCGGCCGUGGGGGUCAGUGACGAAGCCUAGGGCGUGAGCCC